GACGAACGCUGGCGGCGUGCCUAAUACAUGCAAGUAGAACGAGUGGCGAACGGGUGAGUAAUGUAUGGGAAACUGCCUGAUGGAGGGGGAUAACUACUGGAAACGGUAGCUAAUACCGCAUACCAUCAGAUGUGCCCAGAGGGGAGUAGCUAGUCGGUGGGGUAACGGCUAACCAAGGCGAAGGUCCCUAGCUGGUCUGAGAGGAUGACCAGCCACACUGGAACUGAGACCGGGCCCAGACUCUUACGGGAGGCAGCAGUGGGGAAUAUUGCACAAUGGGCGCAAGCCUGAUGCAGCAAUGCCGGGUGUAUGAAGAGGGCUUUGGGGUUGUAAAGUACUUUCAGCGGGGAGGCGUUACCCGCAGAAGAAGCACCGGCUAACUCCGUGCCAGCAGCCGCGGUAAUUC
rnacentral:rRNA from 1 species